CAUACAACGCACGUUCAUGAUGAUAAUUAAAGUAGACAAGCAUAUAACUGAAUUUCCUAUGUUGAUUACUUUCGUCUGACUAAACAUGAAUGCAAGAACAAAGGAGGCAUUUACGGUCCAGUUCUGCUUUAAACCACGCUAAGACAAUGAUCCUUGCUCAUAUCGGUGCUUAUUUUGAUGGAUUCAAAAAUGUUAUAUGAACGUUAAUAAAGAAAAUUUUAGAGAAACUUAAAAACUGUUGUUAAUCAAACGCCUGCCGAAUGUUGAUUUCAAUUAUAUAUUAAGUGAGUAGGGAAUGGCUGCGUCCUCUUCAGAAAUGCAUCGGGCCA